rnacentral:rRNA from 1 species
ACGGAGGGUGCAAGCGUUAAUCGGAAUUACUGGGCGUAAAGGGUACGUAGGCGGUUGAAUAAGUUGGAUGUGAAAGCCCCGGGCUCAACCUGGGAACUGCAUUCAAAACUGUUUAACUAGAGUGUAUAAGAGGUUAGCGGAAUUCCAGGUGUAGCAGUGAAAUGCGUAGAUAUCUGGAGGAACAUCAGUGGCGAAGGCGGCUAACUGGUAUAACACUGACGCUGAGGUACGAAAGCGUGGGUAGCGAACGGG